rnacentral:rRNA from 1 species
UACGUAGGGUGCGAGCGUUGUCCGGAAUUACUGGGCGUAAAGAGCUCGUAGGUGGUUUGUCGCGUUGUUCGUGAAAACUCACAGCUCAACUGUGGGCGUGCGGGCGAUACGGGCAGACUAGAGUACUGCAGGGGAGACUGGAAUUCCUGGUGUAGCGGUGGAAUGCGCAGAUAUCAGGAGGAACACCGGUGGCGAAGGCGGCUCUCUGGAACGGUACUGACGCUGAGACGCGAAAGCGUGGGGAGCGAACAGG